rnacentral:rRNA from 1 species
CCGCCUACGGGGGGCAGCAGUAUUGAAUCUUCCACACUAGUCGAAAGCCUGAUGGAGCAACGCCGCGUGGGUGAAGAAGGUCUUCGGAUCGUAAAGCCCUGUUGUUAGAGAAGAAAGUGCGUGAGAGUAACUGUUCACGUUUCGACGGUAUCUAACCAGAAAGCCACGGCUAACUACGUGCCAGCAGCCGCGGUGAUACGUAGGCGGCAAGCGUUAUCCGGAUUUAUUGGGCGUAAAGGGAACGCAGGCGGUCUUUUAAGUCUGAUGUGAAAGCCUUCGGCUUAACCGGAGUAGUGCAUU